rnacentral:rRNA from 1 species
CCUACGGGUCGCAGCAGUGGGGAAUAUUGGACAAUGGGCGAAAGCCUGAUCCAGCCAUGCCGCGUGUGUGAAGAAGGCCUUCGGGUUGUAAAGCACUUUCAGUGGGGAAGAAAGCCUUGGGGCUAAUACCCUCGAGGAAGGACAUCACCCACAGAAGAAGCACCGGCUAACUCCGUGCCAGCAGCCGCGGUAAUACGGAGGGUGCGAGCGUUAAUCGGAAUUACUGGGCGUAAAGCGCGCGUAGGCGGUCUGAUAAGCCGGUUGUGAAAGCCCCGGGCUCAACCUGGGAACGGCAUCCGGAACUGUCAGGAUAGAGUGCAGGAGAGGAAGGUAGAAUUCCCGGUGUAGCGGUGAAAUGCGUAGAGAUCGGGAGGAAUACCAGUGGCGAAGGCGGCCUUCUGGACUGACACUGACGCUGAGGUGCGAAAGCGUGGGUAGCAAACAGGAUUAGAUACCCCUGUAGUC